AUUGAACGCUGGCGGCAUGAUUUACACAUGCAAGUCGAACGGUAACAGGCCGCAAGGUGCUGACGAGUGGCGAACGGGUGAGUAAUGCAUCGGAACGUGCCCAGUCGUGGGGGAUAACUACUCGAAAGAGUAGCUAAUACCGCAUACGAUCUAUGGAUGAAAGCGGGGGACCGUAAGGCCUCGCGCGAUUGGAGCGGCCGAUGUCAGAUUAGGUAGUUGGUGGGGUAAAGGCUCACCAAGCCAACGAUCUGUAGCCGGUCUGAGAGGACGACCAGCCACACUGGGACUGAGACACGGCCCAGACUCCUACGGGAGGCAGCAGUGGGGAAUUUUGGACAAUGGGCGCAAGCCUGAUCCAGCAAUGCCGCGUGCAGGAAGAAGGCCUUCGGGUUGUAAACUGCUUUUGUACGGAACGAAACGGCUCUGGUUAAUACCCGGGGCUAAUGACGGUACCGUAAGAAUAAGCACCGGCUAACUACGUG
rnacentral:rRNA from 1 species